ACACCUUUCUCGGCCUUUUGGCUUAGAUCAAGUGUAGUAUCUGUUCUUAUCAGUUUAAUAUCUGAUAUGUGGGCCAUGGCUCACACAAUAUUAAAUUAAUUUUUUAGGGGAGGGUCCACCACAGUAGCUUGCUACUGGGACCCUUUUGUGUCGACUUGGUUUUACACUAUUGCCUUGGCCAGGCACAACACAA